CUAUGUCAUGCUUAUUCCUUGACCCUCCCCACCCGAAUGGUGCCCCCCUUCCAUCACUCUCCUCUUACCCUUCUUUAUUUCUCUUCACAGCAUUUGUCAGUACUUUACAUUAUUCCAUACUAGAAGGCAGAUCCAGUUCCUAAUGGUUUGCGAGCUUUGCCAGUUUUCUAUGCCUGCACAGUUGGAAUAAAUCUCUUUUCCAUCAUGUAUACUGGAGCACCGUUGCUGGGCUUUGACAAACUUCCUCUGUGGGGUACCAUCCUCAUCUCGGUGGGAUGUGCAGUUUUCUGUGCCCUUAUCGUCUGGUUCUUUGUAUGUCCCAGGAUGAAGAGAAAAAUUGAACGAGAAAUAAAGUGUAGUCCUUCUGAAAGCCCCUUAAUGGAAAAAAAGAAUAGCUUGAAAGAAGACCAUGAAGAAACAAAGUUGUCUGUCGGUGAUAUUGAAAACAGGAAUCCUGUUUCUGAGGUAGGGCCUGCCACUGUGCCCCUCCAGGCUGUGGUGGAGGAGAGAACAGUUUCAUUCAAACUUGGAGAUUUGGAGGAAGCUCCAGAGAGAGAGAGGCUUCCCAGCGUGGACUUGAAAGAGGAAACCAGCAUAGAUAGCACCGUGAAUGGUGCAGUGCAGUUGCCUAAUGGGAACCUUGUCCAGUUCAGUCAAGCCGUCAGCAACCAAAUAAACUCCAGUGGCCACUACCAGUAUCACACCGUGCAUAAGGAUUCCGGCCUGUACAAAGAGCU
rnacentral:sRNA from 1 species